rnacentral:lncRNA from 10 species
AAAGUGCUGGGAUUACAGGUGUGAGUCACCACACCCAGCCAUAUCAUGCUGUUUUAAAAUAUUGAAAUACUAGUAUUAUUAUUGGUAUAAAACAGUUAUUUCAAUUUUUAAAACAAAACAUUUUUAAAUUAAAAACUUCUAAAACCUAUAUUUUUAAUGUCUUUAAGUAUAUGUAGAGCGUUACAUGCUUCAUUAAUAGUUUAAUGCUGACAGAUGCACUUUUGAGCAACUAUGAAAUAAGUGCAAAAGACAAUGGCAACAGUAUCUCACUCUUAAGACUUUUAGGAUGUACACUGAUAUUUUUAAUAUUAUGUGAAAAAGACACUAAAAUGCUGGUAUUAGCAUUUUUGCUGCAGUAUUGUAAUUACUGUCAAUUGUAAGUGGCAAAGCCAGUGUCCAAAUUUAGGUACUGGAAACGGCAAAGGCCUGUGGCCUCCAAGCCAGUGGUACCCAAAGUAGUCCAUCUGCCGAUUGUUCUUGUUCUGUGAUGAGAUAAAGGUCAGUCAUUGCACAGCUUCCUUGAUCAAAAAAGUCUCGCAUGAAAACGUCAACCGAAUCUAACAGUAUGCUGAGGAGUGCAAAUUGACAACAAUGUCUGUGAACUAGCACUGGUCCACAGAUCACAUUUUGAGUAGCACUGCUCUAAGCAGCAGUGCCUCUUGGAUACUUAGUUUAAUUAAAACAAAACUUGCCUAUGCUAACACUUUAUUGCCAAAAUAAAGGAAAUAAUUGUGGUCUGCCUAAUUUAUGAAUGACAUCCCUUUACCUUUUUUAUGCCACCUAAUUGGUACUUAGUGCAAUGCUAAUCACAUUAUACAAGUUUAAUAUAUGUUUGUUUGGUCAGGACUAAAUUGUAACACAAGUAUUUUAUAUUAGUGGUGUGAACACUUUGAAAGUCUAAUGCUAUCUGUACGUAAUUUUAGUUAGAUGAGAAGGAAUUUAAGAUAAAUGUUAAAAUAGUAAUUAUAAUGGUUGGUCACUCUCAGGGAAGAUGUUAUCAGCUCUGAUCAUCCUAACUCAGGGAUUAACGAUUUAGGCUAUAGCUGUAGCUAUAAAAACAAGAGCACAGUAGAAUGCUGUGCAGCCACCUGGAACAAAUCUAUAUGAAAAGACCUCUGAGAUAAGUAGGAAAAAAGGGAGACAGUAGUCUAUAUAGAAUACAUAUGCAGCUGUUUGCAUGCAUAUGCAUACAUUUUUUUCUGGAAGAAUAUUUAAGAAAUUGAUAAUUUUGUGUUGGGAAGCAGGACAGGUAGAUUGGGGUAUAUGAUAAGAGUGACUCUUAAAAUAUAAAUUCAGCUUUAUACUGUUUUAACUAUUUUUUAAAUUAAAAUACUUAUUAAUGAAAAGCAAA